rnacentral:ncRNA from 2 species
CUCUUAUUAUGAGUGGUGGAGGGAUAGUGCCCUAGGAAACCCGGCAACCGUCACGAAAGUGAAAUGGUGCCAAAUCACGCAAAGCGAAUGCGCUUUGAGAGAUGAGAG